rnacentral:misc_RNA from 1 species
AACGCACAUUGCACUCUAGCUUGCUAGAGUAUGCCUGUUUGAGAAUCUAAUGUAUCUCUUCUGCUUGAUUGGCCUUGGCUGUUCAAGCGGAGAUCUGGCCCGUCUGUCUGAACAAGACAGUGUGCUGAAUUAGAUUAUCCAGCAGUAGCGCUGUGUAAUGACGGCCUGCAAAGUCUGCUGAAAAGUAUAUGCAUGGAACGCUAUCAGUCUGCUGGUAGUUUGGACCUCAUAAUACCGAAUAAGCAACAGUAGUGCCUAGCACAACGAUUUCUGCUGGUCACCAACCAAAGUUUUCUGCAGAGAAAACUGAACCAUGGUCUCAAAUCAGGUAGGACUACCCGCUGAACUUAA